AAUCUUCGGCAAUGGGCGAAAAGCCUGACCGAGCGACGCCGCGUGGGGGAAGAAGGUCUUCGGAUCGUAAACCCCUGUCCUUGGGGACGAAGGUGACGGUACCCAAGGAGGAAGCCCCGGCUAACUACGUGCCAGCAGCCGCGGUAAUACGUAGGGGGCGAGCGUUGUCCGGAAUUACUGGGCGUAAAGGGUACGUAGGCGGCUAUAUAAGUCAGGUGUGAAAUACCAGUGCUUAACACUGGAAUUGCAUUUGAAACUGUGUAGCUUGAGUGCAGGAGAGGAAAGUGGAAUUCCUAGUGUAGCGGUGAAAUGCGUAGAGAUUAGGAGGAACACCAGUGGCGAAGGCGACUUUCUGGACUGUAACUGACGCUGAGGUACGAAAGCGUGGGUAGCGAACA
rnacentral:rRNA from 1 species